CAGUAGCCGCGGUAAUACGAAGGGGGCUAGCGUUGUUCGGAAUUACUGGGCGUAAAGGGCGCGUAGGCGGCCAUUCAAGUUAGAUGUGAAAGCCCUGGGCUCAACCUAGGAAUUGCAUUUGAUACUGUUUGGCUUGAGUUCGGGAGAGGUGAGUGGAAUUCCCAGUGUAGAGGUGAAAUUCGUAGAUAUUGGGAAGAACACCAGUGGCGAAGGCGGCUCACUGGACCGACACUGACGCUGAGGCGCGAAGGCGUGGGGAGCAAACAGGAUUAGAUACCCCCGUAGUCCCUGUCUCUUAUAC
rnacentral:rRNA from 1 species